GGGAAUUUUCCGCAAUGGGCGAAAGCCUGACGGAGCAACGCCGCGUGAGGGAUGAAGGCCUCUGGGCUGUAAACCUCUUUUAUCAAGGAAGAAGAUCUGACGGUACUUGAUGAAUAAGCCACGGCUAAUUCCGUGCCAGCAGCCGCGGUAAUACGGGAGUGGCAAGCGUUAUCCGGAAUUAUUGGGCGUAAAGCGUCCGCAGGCGGCCCUUCAAGUCUGCUGUUAAAAAGUGGAGCUUAACUCCAUCAUGGCAGUGGAAACUGUUGGGCUUGAGUGUGGUAGGGGCAGAGGGAAUUCCCGGUGUAGCGGUGAAAUGCGUAGAUAUCGGGAAGAACACCAGUGGCGAAGGCGCUCUGCUGGGCCAUAACUGACGCUCAUGGACGAAAGCCAGGGGAGCGAAAGGGAUUAGAUACCCCUGUAGUCA
rnacentral:rRNA from 1 species